rnacentral:lncRNA from 1 species
GCCCUGCAGAACUCUGGCUGCCAAUGGAGACCCACCGACGGUCACCAGGUUGGUCACCGCGGCAGCUGUGGCUGCUGGGUCCUUUUACCCAGCCAUAAACUUGAAGAAAAUCUGACCCAGGAACACACUCCACAGGAGCGCUGCAUCCCUCCCGUUAGCACCUUUCUCAACUGUGCCCUUUUCAACCCUUGCCUCCUCUCAGUCAACAACUUCCCCACCCAGACAUGUAUCCUCCCCGACUCCAGCUGGGGUCAGGGGUCUUCAGGUCGCUGCAUCGCGCGGACCCCCAGCGCUUGCAGGCUCGUGCUCUCGCCCGACUGUCCCCGGACGGACUGUCACUGCGCGAUCCACGUCCCGCCCCACGCAGAGUGGCGGCUCCGCAAGGUCUUCCCAGUCGGUGUCCCUCCUGGCCGUUUCCACCCGAGCCCUCGGGUUGACAAUUCUCCUCCACCCCUCCCCUCCAAGUCCUCUACCUUUCGCAAACAGGGACUGUCGCUGCGCGCUCUGGGUCUUCCCCUCCACGCUGGCUGCACCGCACCCCUUCCCAGCCCGGCUGGGUCCCUGUUUAGCCCUAUAGAUCGGCUUCCCUCCGGUCCCCUCCCGCAGUCCCCCCAGACUGUUGCUGCGCACCCCGGGGCCGCCCCUCCAAGAUCUCCUGAGCCCAGAGCCUCCGUCCCCGCGGGGUCCCGGCCGCCCCUGCAGCGCCGCCCAGCGUGGCUCCCGAGCCUCUGUCCCGAGCGGCUUCGGUGGCUCGUCCCCCGCCCCCGGGAGCUGGCCCCGCCCCGGCCCCGCUCCGCCCCCGGCCGCCUAGGCUUGAUUGGCCGCGCGCCCCCCUCCCGGGGCUCCUCCCCGCCCCCUGGGUCCGUGGGCACCGCCACCUGGUCCAGAGAAUCCCCCGAGGGGACCCAGAGGCUCCGCUCGGGCCGGGCGCGCACCGUGGGGACGCGGAGCGAGCGCGGGCCAGGGAGGAGGAGCGAAGGUGUAGGACAGAACUCGGCCAGGAACAGGAAACCUACGGCGGGCGGCAGGGCAGGGGCGGCGACGGUGGCGCGGGGCCAUCGCGGUGACCCCAGCAGUGGCCUCGCUGCCGCGCGCCGUGGCUGA